rnacentral:rRNA from 1 species
GACGAACGCUGGCGGCGUGCCUAAUACAUGCAAGUAGAACGAAGUUACGAGCGGGUGAGUAACGCGUAGGUAACUGCCUGGUAGCGGGGGAUAACAACUGGAGACGCGAGCUGAUACAGCGUACUGCCAGAUGGAACUGGGUUGUAUUAGCUGGUUGGUGGGGUAACGGAUCACAAAGGCAACGAUACAUAGCCGGCGUGAGAGGGGGAUCGGCCACACGGGGACUGAUACACGGCCCAGACUCCUACGGGAGGCAGCAGGAGGGAAUCUUCCGCAAUGGACGAAAGUCUGACCGAGCAACGCCGCGUGAGUGAAGAAGGUUUUCGGAUCGUAAAACUCUGUUGUUAGAGAAGCGGUAUCUAACCAGAAAGCCACGGCUAACUACGUGCCAGCAGCCGCGGUAAUUC